GGAAACGCGCACUAGGUCUAACUCAUAUUGUUAUCAGAAAAAUAUAGGGUAUAAGAUAAAAUAAUCCUAGAGAAAUAAUUAAAAUGGCCUUAUUACAACCCAAAACCAAAUAAUAAUAUUAAUAAGAUAAAACUUAUAAAGAAAUAAAUCGGCUACUUAUUGCAACUAAAAGAAACAGAGACAGUAGUGUGGCCAUCUCCGAGUCCCUUGCAGCUCCAAACCAUCUAAGCUUAGGGAUUACCUACACAAUUAGAAACGGGGUGAGUUUACAAAAACUUAGUGUGUAAUCCCAAAAACAAACAAACAGUAAAUAACACGGUAUCAGUACAAUCUGGGCCAAAGCCCUAUUUAGUCCUGACAUAUACUGGGCCGAAGCCUUUCCAUAAAUCAUAUCACUGGGCCGAAGCCUUUACUGUAAACGGUAUGGCCCUUAGGCCCAUUUCAAUAUCACAUGUAAUGUCAAUGAAUGUAUGCAAGCCCAUUUGGGGAGACUACUCAACCCACCAUCCGCUGCUCUCCACCCAUACCAACCAAGCUCUCCAUGUGGGGAAUAACUCAACCCACCCAACCAAACUCUCCACUGGCAGCAUAGCUGCUUUAUCAUAUAACUGGAGGCCUAGCCUCUUUUAGUAACUGGGGUAAAGCCCUUUCUGAUAAACUUGGGCAAAGCCCUUUUCGGUAAACUGGGGCAGAGCCCUUUUAGCACUUCCUCCAUCAAUAUAACCCAUAUCCCAUGCAAUAUGUCAUGUAUGUAGAAUGUCAUGCCCAUAUUUGAAUCAAACAAUCACAGUCAAGUCAUUCAUAUCACCAACAUAUAUUCACAAUCAAAUCCAUCAACCACACAGUCUAAGUCAGUCACUUGCCCACAAGGGCAAAACAGUUAUUUUUCAUAUUAUAAGGGUAUUUUCGUAAUUUUACCAAAAAUCAGGGUUUUCCAUGUUCAUUACAAUUUUCAAUAUUUCUGAGUUUUUAAACAAUGAUCUUUAACCCACUUAUCAAAUUCGGGCUUUUGGGCUCAAAACCCCUAAUGGGCCCUACGAAUACUGAUUUAGCCCACUAAGCCUGCUUAACCCAAAUUUUACAACAAUACUAACUAUGUUAACAUGCAACUUUUCCAAAUUCCAUUUUCUAUCAAUUUUACCCAAAUGGGCCCAAAAGCCCAUUUGGCCCAAUUCCUGCCCAUUGAGGCCCAACUUACCAUCGUGCACAAAAUUGAGUUCUUACCCGUUCCAUCGAUCCAAACACCGAUCUUAUCAUAUUUAUGGCAUCUAUACCCACACGCAACAUUACAAGUUCCCGAAAUACCGGUAUUUUAGCAUUUCGGCUUCUCAGCAGAUAUUAAUUUAAGCUACUACGAGGGUUAGUACACACCUAUUAUGGGUUGAAGUUGAAAUGUUUCCAUAAUCAAUCACCUACGAUAACCACCACCUGUCACUCAAACUUAACUAAUCCAAUAUCAAUAUAUGUAAAUCCUAAGCACAUCAUAAGGGCAUAUUCGUUAUUUUACCAUACAAGGGUAUUACGGUCACUUUACCCUACAGGGGCUUUACGGUCUUUUUACCUAUUAGGGGUAUUUUAGUCAUUUCAUCCUACAAGGGUGUUUUGGUAAAUCUACAAACCAAGGGUAUUUCAGUAAUUUUGUAAACCAAUGGUAUUUCUAUAAUUUUUAGAAAGUCAAGGGUAUUUUUGUAAUUUUGUAAAUCAGGGGUAUUUUGGUAAUUUUACAAAUUGAGGGUAUUUCAGUAAUUUCACAAACCAGUGGUAUUUCGAUAAUUUUACAAACUAGGGGUAUUUUGGUAAUUUAACAAACUAGGGGUAUUUUGGUAAUUUUACAAACUAGGGGUAUUUUGGUAAUUCUAUUCUACAGGGGUAUUUCAGUAAUUUCACAAUUGAGGGUAAAACGGUAAUUUUAUAAACUGAGGGUAAAAUGGUUAUUUUGUAAAUCGAGGGUAAAACGGUAAUUCUAUAAAUCGAGGGUAAAAUGGUAAUUCUAUAAAUCGAAGGUAAAAUGGUAAUUCUACAAAUCGAGGGCAUUUCAGUAAUUUGGUAAACUAAAGUAUUCUAAACAGGGAUAACAAUAUGAAUGGGCCGAAAGCCUAUUCUCGGCCCAAAUGGGCCCACACGCUCGUGUGGCCCUUUUAGCCCAAAUCUAGCCACAAAUAUGAGAUUCACCUAGCCUAGUCCAAUAUUUACUACCCAAUCCAACAACUUAUCCAAUUGGGCCCGUAGGCCCAUUAGGCCCACAUGACCCCUUUCGACCCAUCGCGGCCCGAAGUAGCCAUCCUACAGCUAGAGUAGCGAGAAAAUACACACCUGAUAGGAGACUGGAGUUAAUCCACGCUCCGAGCACUCUUAGCCGACGCCCAACCCAAAUGAGCACGCCAUACAGCGAAAGGGAUCAGCC
rnacentral:lncRNA from 1 species